rnacentral:tRNA from 2 species
GCCUCCUUAGCUCAGUUGGUAGAGCAACGGUCUUGUAAACCGUAGGUCGCGAGUUCGAGUCUCGCAGGGGGCU